GUUGUGCCCUUGAGGCGUGGCUUCCGGAGCUAACGCGUUAAGUCGACCGCCUGGGGAGUACGGCCGCAAGGUUAAAACUCAAAUGAAUUGACGGGGGCCCGCACAAGCGGUGGAGCAUGUGGUUUAAUUCGAUGCAACGCGAAGAACCUUACCUGGUCUUGACAUCCACAGAACUUUCCAGAGAUGGAUUGGUGCCUUCGGGAACUGUGAGACAGGUGCUGCAUGGCUGUCGUCAGCUCGUGUUGUGAAAUGUUGGGUUAAGUCCCGCAACGAGCGCAACCCUUAUCCUUUGUUGCCAGCGGUCCGGCCGGGAACUCAAAGGAGACUGCCAGUGAUAAACUGGAGGAAGGUGGGGAUGACGUCAAGUCAUCAUGGCCCUUACGACCAGGGCUACACACGUGCUACAAUGGCGCAUACAAAGAGAAGCGACCUCGCGAGAGCAAGCGGACCUCAUAAAGUGCGUCGUAGUCCGGAUUGGAGUCUGCAACUCGACUCCAUGAAGUCGGAAUCGCUAGUAAUCGUGGAUCAGAAUGCCACGGUGAAUACGUUCCCGGGCCUUGUACACACCGCCCGUCACACCAUGGGAGUGGGUUGCAAAAGAAGUAGGUAGCUUAACCUUCGGGAGGGCGCUUACCACUUUGUGAUUCAUGACUGGGGUGAAGUCGUAACAAGGUAACCGUAGGGGAACCUGCGGUUGGA
rnacentral:rRNA from 1 species